UACGUAGGGUGCAAGCGUUGUCCGGAAUUACUGGGCGUAAAGCGUGCGCAGGCGGUUAUGCAAGACAGAGGUGAAAUCCCCGGGCUCAACCUGGGAACUGCCUUUGUGACUGCAUAGCUAGAGUACGGUAGAGGGGGAUGGAAUUCCGCGUGUAGCAGUGAAAUGCGUAGAUAUGCGGAGGAACACCGAUGGCGAAGGCAAUCCCCUGGACCUGUACUGACGCUCAUGCACGAAAGCGUGGGGAGCAAACAGG
rnacentral:rRNA from 1 species